rnacentral:rRNA from 2 species
GGCUGGAGCAGGUCCCAAGGGUAUGGCUGUUCGCCAUUUAAAGUGGUACGCGAGCUGGGUUUAGAACGUCGUGAGACAGUUCGGUCCCUAUCUGCCGUGGGCGCUGGAGACUUGAAGGUAGCUGCUCCUAGUACGAGAGGACCGGAGUGGACGUACCUCUGGUGUUCCGGUUGUCACGCCAGUGGCAUUGCCGGGUAGCUAUGUACGGAAAGGAUAACCGCUGAAAGCAUCUAAGCGGGAAGCCUCACCUAAGAUUAGGUCUCCCAAGAUACUUGAUAUCUUCUAAAGGGCCCUUGUAGACCACAAGGUUGAUAGGCCGGGUGUGGAAGUCCAGUAAUGGAUGAAGCUAACCGGUACUAAUUACCCGAGAGGCUUGACCAUAUAACGCUAAAACGUUUUG